UUUACCGGGAUUCGUCUUCUCCUUCUGUGUCUGGCUCCUGUGGUCUUGGCAGCAUUCUGCAGCGACUUCAGAGUUGGAGAUGAGGGUGGGCACCGGGGACGUGAGUUGUUUAUGCUCCAGUUUCCAUGGAGCUCCCCUGCGACGCGGCGCAUCUGUGAUGUCGCGGUUGUGAGACGCGGAAGUGACUCGUGACGGCUGGCGGGCGGGUGCGCCGUGGAGCAGGUGAGUAUGGUUAGGUUUGUUAACGGUGGGGGUUUCAUGCUUUAAAUGUCAGUUGUGCACAUGUUGUAUAUUUGUCUGGCCCUGAGGACGGAGAGGUUUUCUCCGAAACAUGUCGGUCUGUUGCCAAUAAAGUAACUACGUUUGUUUCA